rnacentral:tRNA from 1 species
GGAGAGGUGGCCGAGCUGGCUUAAGGCAACCGCCUGCUAAGCGGUUGUCCCGCCAAAAGCGGGACCGAGGGUUCGAAUCCCUCCCUCUCCG